CCUACGGGAGGCAGCAGUGGGGAAUUUUGGACAAUGGACGCAAGUCUGAUCCAGCCAUGCCGCGUGCGGGAAGAAGGCCUUCGGGUUGUAAACCGCUUUUGUCAGGGAAGAAACGGGUUUCUCUAAUACAGAGACCUAAUGACGGUACCUGAAGAAUAAGCACCGGCUAACUACGUGCCAGCAGCCGCGGUAAUACGUAGGGUGCAAGCGUUAAUCGGAAUUACUGGGCGUAAAGCGUGCGCAGGCGGUUAUGCAAGACAGAGGUGAAAUCCCCGGGCUCAACCUGGGAACUGCCUUUGUGACUGCAUAGCUAGAGUACGGUAGAGGGGGAUGGAAUUCCGCGUGUAGCAGUGAAAUGCGUAGAUAUGCGGAGGAACACCGAUGGCGAAGGCAAUCCCCUGGACCUGUACUGACGCUCAUGCACGAAAGCGUGGGGAGCAAACAGGAUUAGAUACCCUGGUAGUCCACGCCCUAAACGAUGUCAACUGGUUGUUGGGAGGGUUUCUUCUCAGUAACGAAGCUAACGCGUGAAGUUGACCGCCUGGGGAGUACGGCCGCAAGGUUGAAACUCAAAUGAAUUGACCGGNNGAGAGNGCGACGACGACGACGAGGGAGGAGG
rnacentral:rRNA from 1 species